GAACCCGUUCCUUAGGGUAAAGGGCACCUAGCUGAUAAUUAGGUUGAAGGGGGUUAAAUUCCCCCCGGGUUUU
rnacentral:tRNA from 1 species